GUUCUAUAGCCUCAUCAAUUUUAGUGAGAGCAACAUCAUAUUGUCCCCGCCUGUCAUAAUGCUGAGCCAAGAAAAAUAAUGUCCACAUAAGUGUUGAAGGAGGUUCUUUGUUUGUGCUCCCUGGGUAUCUCCCAGUCAAUCUAAUUGAAUGCUCCAACUCAAGAAUAAGUUUUUCCAGUAUGUCUGCCUUGCCAGCAUGGUCAUACAAGGAAGAAAGAUCUGAGAAUAAUGAAGGAACACCCUUGGUAAGGAGGGGCCUAAUAUAAUUG
rnacentral:misc_RNA from 1 species